AUACUUAGAAAAAGAAAAGAAAAAAAAAAACUACAUAAAGGAAAGGAAACCCAAGAUUCUGAUUUUGGUAUAACUUUAAACUUGACCACCAACUGUGAAGGCUCUAAUGCCAACACUCCAGAUAUUCACUAUUGCACUGCUCUUUUAUUUAUAAGUUUCACACAACAGACAUGAAGUACCCAGGACUUCCAGGUCUGGAGGAUCUUGGCAUCACUCCAUCUGCUGUAGAACAAAAGGCUAUUGAGAUUCUGCGCCGCCACCGCCGAUUCCGUUACCUGGAAGCUGACCUGGAUGAGACAAAACCAGCCAAAACUGUCAGCUAUUAAACUACCUGACCACUUCCCAACAUCACUGAGGAUAUACGACAAUGCCAUUAUGAGAGAGUAUUCAGCUGUUACAUAUUCACGUCAUUUGACUUGAAAAUUUUUAUUGUUUUACUACACCUGAAUCAUGGUUGGUAAUAAAUCAGGAGAAACACACCAUUGUGCUGUGACAAAUACUAAACUCUGCUGCAGUCUGCAGGAACAUGGCUAAUUUAUUUUUAAUAACAUAUUUAAUGUUUACACAAUACAUAGUAUGAGUAAUAGAGAUUGAGACAGUGUAGAAACAUCAUACACAUUUUUACAUCUGUGACGUAAUGUAAAACAAGCACAGUAAAUACAGAAGUGCACUUUGAAUCCUCCAUAAUAGCUUGAUAGUACCUCACUAAGUUGUAGAGGCAGACUAAUUUGAUACUAAGAUUAAAAUCGGCAUUGACUCGGUUCCUAUCUCAGCCUCAAUAAAUCAUGCCCUUUUGAUUUAAACAGCUAAAUUGAAAGACCCAACUGAAAUAGUAAUUUAUGGUACAUAUGGUAGGAAAGUGUUCUUUAUUGUACUACUUGAGCUGUAAAGUGUGGAGUGAAGAGUUGCUUGGACAGUACAGAAUGACUGAUGUGAUCCUUUGUGAAACUACAAUGAAGACAUACUUGGGGAGAGCUGGAA